rnacentral:rRNA from 1 species
CAAGCGUGGAUGAUGUGGAUUAAUUCGAUGCAACGCGAAGACCUUACUACCCUUGACAUGUCCGGAACUCGCCAGAGAUGGCUUGGUGCCCGAAAGGGAAUCGGAACACAGGUGCUGCAUGGCUGUCGUCAGCUCGUGUCGUGAGAUGUUGGGUUAAGUCCCGCAACGAGCGCAACCCUUAUCAUUAGUUGCUACGCAAGGGCACUCUAAUGAGACUGCCGGUGACAAACCGGAGGAAGUGGGGAUGACGUCAAGUCCUCAUGGCCCUUAUGGGUAGGGCUUCACACGUCAUACAAUGGUCGGUACAGAGGGUUGCCAAGCCGCGAGGCGGAGCCAAUCCCACAAAGCCGAUCGUAGUCCGGAUUGUUCUCUGCAACUCGAGAGCAUGAAGUCGGAAUCGCUAGUAAUCGCAGGUCAGCAUACUGCGGUGAAUACGUUCCCGGGUCUU